AAUACGUUCCCGGGCCUUGUACACACCGCCCGUCACACCACGAAAGUCGGCAACACCCGAAGCCGGUGGCCUAACCCGUAAGGGAGGAGCCGUCGAAGGUGGGGUCGGUGAUUGGGGUG
rnacentral:rRNA from 1 species